rnacentral:misc_RNA from 1 species
GAAGGGACAGCCUUGAUAUUGAUCUGAAUGUGGCUGAGGAUGGAGAUGAGAAGGUGAUAGACUUAAUUUCAGGAAGGCCAAUUCCAGUCUCGUCUGGCAUGCAUUCUGGAGAAUCUUCAGUAGAAGUGGGUCCAAGAAGAUCAGAAAGGCCCAACCUUGAUUUAAAUCGCGUCAGCGAUGAUGGUGAUGCUCCACCAUCAGGUUUGAGGAUGGAAGGGCAGCUGUUUCACCCCCGGAAUGGCCAUCGCAGCCCAUCUCCUGCUUCUUCAUCAUCAUCUAUGCAGCCUUCACUGAGGAAUUUUGAUUUGAACGAUAGGCCUCUUUUUCACAAUGAUUCUUCAGAUCAAGGGCUCCAUCUUGGCAACCAAAAUUUAAGAGCUUUUGGAGGUUUUAAAUCAGGUGAUCCGGUUAUUUCUAUCAUGGGUGCUAGAGUUGAAGUGGGUAGUAGAGUGGAAGUCGGUAGGAAGGAUUUUGUUCCUCAAAAUCUGUCCUUGCCAAAUGGCAAGCCUCUAGAUCAUACAAUGGAUACAAAUGUGACAAGAAUGGGAGGUAUUCUCGGGAUUCCAACUGUGUCAUACACGCAUUCUCCUGUUUUUGGGUACAAUGGACUGACAACAGUGCCAACCAUGUCCAUCUCCUCAGCUUUGUAUGGAUCUGGUGCCUCAAUCCCUUACAUGGUAGAUUCAAGAGGAGCCCCUGUGGUACCUCAAAUUCUGGGUUCUACAUCUGUUCCUUCUGCUUGCUCCCAACCUGCAUUCAUGAUGAGUAUGACCAGUGCACCAAGUUUAAAUGGUGCAGGGCCUUCACGGCUUAACUUUGAUCUUAAUUCUGGUUUUGCAAUUGAAGGAGGUCCUGGGGGUUUGAGGCAACUUUUCAUGACUGGUCAAGGUAGGUCGAUGGAGGAGCAUUUGAGGGCCAACGUUCAACCCUCCUCGAGCUCUGCAGUUGGUGGGAAAAGGAGGGAACCUGACGGUGGUUGGGAACCAUACUCUUUACAAUAUAAACAUCCACAGCCUCCAUG